rnacentral:rRNA from 1 species
UACGUAGGGUGCAAGCGUUAAUCGGAAUUACUGGGCGUAAAGCGUGCGCAGGCGGUUUGAUAAGACAGGUGUGAAAUCCCCGAGCUCAACUUGGGAACUGCACUUGUAACUGUCAGACUAGAAUAUGUCAGAGGGAGGUAGAAUUCCACGUGUAGCAGUGAAAUGCGUAGAGAUGUGGAGGAAUACCGGUGGCGAAGGCGGCCUCCUGGGAUAAUAUUGACGCUCAUGUACGAAAGCGUGGGGAGCAAACAGG